CGAACCGGGGGAACUGAAACAUCUAAGUACCCCGAGGAAAAGAAAUCAACCGAGAUUCCCCCAGUAGCGGCGAGCGAACGGGGAGGAGCCCAGAGCCUGAAUCAGCAUGUGUGUUAGUGGAAGCGUCUGGAAAGGCGCGCGAUACAGGGUGACAGCCCCGUACACAAAAGCGCAUGUGCUGUGAGCUCGAUGAGUAGGGCGGGACACGUGGUAUCCUGUCUGAAUAUGGGGGGACCAUCCUCCAAGGCUAAAUACUCCUGACUGACCGAUAGUGAACCAGUACCGUGAGGGAAAGGCGAAAAGAACCCCGGCGAGGGGAGUGAAAAAGAACCUGAAACCGUGUACGUACAAGCAGUGGGAGC
rnacentral:rRNA from 1 species